AUGACUUCUCUGACGUAGUUUUCUGCAAUUUAAGUAGUUGCUGAGCGGAGUCUCUGCUACAGGUAUCAACUUUCCCAAUGCAGCAAGAGGCCAACUGGUUCAAGAAAGGAGAACAGAAUAAAAGAUUGAUCCAUAUAUAAAGGCAGUCAAUGCACAACAUAUAAGGCUUUGUUAGAGAUAUAUUAGGAUUAAAGUAUUUAUCAUAUCUUUAAUCCUAAUAUAUCUCUAACAGGCUUACGCAGAUGGAAGAAACAAGAAAGAGUGUACUCAAGGAGGGGAAGACACAUACCUGAUUACACCGAUAACGAUGCAGACAAGCCACAAUUGCCAGUCCAGCUUUACAGUUUUAGCAAACUUCCCAAGAAACUCAACUAUCACAAUCUGCCAGAAUAUAUGACACGAAAGGAACAAAAAAAAAGUUAAUGCAACAUAACUUCUGCAGUAGUAACAGUGCAGCAUACAUCUAUCUUUACCAGCCUCACCUGAAGUAUCAAUGUUAGUCCUACUAUUCCAAUGAACAAUUUGUUUUUAAUAACUCCAUCAAAUAUGUUGAUCUGAUCAGGCUUGCGAGCAUUGAACUCAUUAAAUAUCUGCACAUUUUCAAUUAGCAUCAGAAAAGUGUCAGCACUUUGAUUGUUAUAGUCAAAGAAAAUUUUCAAAAUACCAAACGUGCACCAUGAUUGCAUCUGCUUUCUAAUAAAUCUUUGAAUAGCUAAAAUACCAUAUGCCUCUCAGAAGGCUCACCUGGCAAAGAACAAAUGCAUUGAAGAUCACCGUGUUCUUUACUUGGUUAGCAUGUUGAGUAUGCUGUAGACGUAAGAUAUUCCGGCCGUCGAAGUUGAGUACAAGCAGAACAAUUAUUUGGUAGAUAGCCUAUGAUUUCAAGAAAAAAUAGAAAAGUUAAUAGUAUAUAGUAAUAUUCAACACCAGCUAAUUCCAUCAUUAUGGCACAUCUGUAAUUUCUACACUGAAAGGAGAUAAGCAAACCUGAAUCAAUAGGUUCCUCCACAUAAUAUUUGUAAUAAGAGGUUCCCUGCAAAGUAAUAGUAAAGUAAAAAUUAUUUCCCAAAUAACAAGGACCCAACAUAGAUUUAUUGCUUUGUAAUUGAAAGAAUCAAUGUAAAAUGUAUGUAAUUCUGCAAAGCGCUCAACAUAAUACAUUUAAGCCAAGUAGACUGACUGCAUGAAAUGCAGUAUAUGACUGACCAGUUCAAAAUGUAUCGACACGACUGGUUAGAAAAAAAUUCGGAAGGGAAAGCACCAAGGCUGAGCAGGGAUAGAAGAGCAUCCCCACUCACGGUCAUUUGGGCAUAAAAUCGAUUCAUGAACCUUGCCCAAAAAAAAAAACAUUGGCUUGCAUCAUUGUUGUUUUCUUAUGUUUGUAUUUGGGUCAUGCUAUGACUCAAUCCAUGGUUGAGCAUCUUCUGAGCCAAACCAUGGAAUAAGUCAUCAAAAAAGAGAGUGGCGCCCAUGAAAAAAUGAGACAAAUUUGGCUGGGCAAAAUUACAGAACAGUGAGUUCGAGUGGCAAAAAUGAAAAGAGCCAAAAUUGCCACUCGUGCAGACUGAUAAAAGUUAAUACGGUAAAAUCUGGGAGUAUCUAGUUCAAUGGUUAUGUAAAUAAGCAAUACAAGUAAUUAAGUCUGGAACUUGGGGUAUACACAUGGUGUCAAAACAAGGCCGCAUCGUAUCGUAUCGCCCGUGUUGUAAAGAUUUUCAAAUCUACCGAACCAAUAUUACCCGCAUCGUAAAGGUGUAAAAAAACUGCAUUUUGGCCGAUAUUAAAUGGUACGAUUACCGCAUCAUCCCCGUUCCCGCAUCACCGUGAUCGCUACCGCGAUCGUGACUGAAACCGUAUUUUUGAACUAUGGGUUUACAUACUUUGUCGCAUCAGAGCUAGUGUAACCUCUCCACUGCUGAGAAUUCUGUUUUCUUCAAAUCAUUAUUCGAAAUUGCAAAAAAUUUACUAAUGUUUAUGUAACAGUUUGCGUGCUCUCCACCCACAAAAAUAUCCACAGAACUUAGCCUUAAGGAUGGAUAUACAUUCUUGAGGUCAAAAUCUUCCCAGACUACAUGAUGAAAAAAAAUGCAAACACAUGGAAUGGACAGAACGAUUGCUACAGCAACUCUGAUCAGAUAGAGCUGAAAAAUUAAUGUAUCUGCAAAAAUUCAGCUUCAGAUUCAAACCUUCGACCAACAGGUGGUCUGUGCAUAAGGUGAUCCGUAGGUGGUUCUGUAGCCAAUGCAAGAGCUCCGAGAGUAUCCAUUAUCAGAUUCACCCAGAGAAGCUGUACAGCAAACAAACACGGUUUCACUCAAGACAGUCAUCUGAGAGAUUUCAUGCAAGACAAGACUAAGAAAUUAUGUCCUACCCUUCCAACAAGCAACAACAAAAAAGAGCAGAAAAGGAUACCUGCACAGCAUUUAAUGGGACAUCACCAGUGGAAAAUGCAGCAACGACAUUAAUAACAAGGGCUGCCACAUUAACUGUCAGCUGGAACUGUAUGAAUUUCUGUAUGUUUGCAUAUACAGAUCUACCCCAUCGAACAACCUGAAAAA